UCUAAUUAUGUCUCAAGCACCCAUACUUCACAAAAAAAUAGCAUAUUACAGCUGCUUAAUGUCUUUUUCAUCUUCCCAAAGGGAGGGGGCGUGUCCUUCUCUUGCCUGCACUGUGAUGACUCCUCCCUCUCCCUGACUUUUUAGAGAUUGCCUGAACUCUACCACCUAAGACAAUAUGAACAGAAAUGAUUUUCCCAUGCUGCCUACAUAAAUACUCUGGCUUUGCAGAGGGGAGAGUGUGGAGUCUCAUCGCUGCAGUUCACCUAAGACCAAGCUAAUCACCAGGCUAGAUUCCAGCAACCAGAAGCCUAAAUAACUAAGACUUAUAACCUUUAAGAGGUGUGCUCUGAAGUGUACUUGCAGGAACCAGUAGAAGCGACAGGCAGCCGCGAAACGGACGUUGUUCCAAUCUGUCUGCUCCCUCCCCUCACACCGUUGUCGCUAUCCUGUCUCAA